rnacentral:sRNA from 1 species
AGUAGGAUGAGGCCCCAGAAUAGGCUGAGGCCAAGUUGUAGCAAACGCCAAGGUGUUCAUCCUGUGAUCAAAGAGGACCUGCUUAAGGUCAGUAAGCUGAGCUGAGAGCAUUAAGAUGGAGAGUGUUGGCGUGUACGGAUUCUGUGGGUGUAAAGCAAAG